rnacentral:rRNA from 1 species
AUGGUAGCCGCGCGCCUCCUCGCGCGGGCCACGAGGCAAUGCGCCGCCGCGGUGGUGGCGUCCGCUGCGAGGCGGCCGCUCGGCGGCGUGGCGGCGGUGGCCGCUCGCCCGCUCGCCUCUUCCUUCGGCCCCGCCAGGGUUCCAUAUAUGUUGAAUCAGCCAUUGAGAUACUCAAGCAACAUCUUUCAAAGGUUUGGCUUUUCAUCUUCUACCCCCCAACAAAAUGAUAAGGAGGUACACGAACCCAAAGACCAGGAAAGUACUGCACAUGAAUCAAAUGGUGAAGCUUCAAAGGAAGACAGUGGUUCGUCUGGAAGUACAGAAGAUCUUGAUCUGUCAAAGGAGGAUCUAGUGAAGCUAGUUUUUGAGAAGGAUGAAUUAUUAACCUCGAAAGAUGAAGAGAUCAAAGAUAUGAAGGACAAGGUUUUGCGCAGCUAUGCAGAAAUGGAAAAUGUCAUUGCCAGGACAAAGCGUGAAUCUGAGAACUCAAAAAAAUAUGCAGUGCAGAACUUCUCUAAGAGCUUGUUAGAUGUUGCUGACAAUUUGGCUCGAGCUUCAUCUGUUGUAAAGGAAAGCUUCUCAAAAUUAGAUACAUCCGAAGAUUCUAGUGGAGCUGUACCAUUACUAAAAACCUUACUGGAGGGUGUUGACAUGACUGAUAAGCAACUCGGAGAGGUUUUUAAGAAGUUUGGAGUCGAAAGGUUUGAUCCGUUGAAUGAGAAAUUCAAUCCUGAUAAGCAUUUUGCACUUUUCCAAAUUCCUGAUCCUUCAAAACCAUCCGGAACUGUUGCUUCUGUUGUGAAGGUUGGGUACAUGUUACAUGAUCGCGUGCUCCGUCCUGCGGAAGUUGGUGUUACAGAGGGAGGUCCGUCCGAAGAGCCUGAGGAGAAAUCAGGUGGAGAGUAG